rnacentral:tRNA from 1 species
UGGCCCGUGGCCUAGUGGAUAGGGCGGCGUACAAAACGUCCGUAAGCCUUCGGAGGAAGAGGAAAGCCGUAGGUCGUGGGUUCGAAUCCCACCGGGCCCA